CACGUAGGGUGCGAGCGUUGUCCGGAAUUAUUGGGCGUAAAGAGCUCGUAGGCGGUGUGUCGCGUCGGCCGUGAAAACCUGCAGCUUAACUGUGGGCUUGCGGUCGAUACGGGCAUCACUGGAGUUCGGCAGGGGAGACUGGAAUUCCAGGUGUAGCGGUGAAAUGCGUAGAUAUCUGGAGGAACACCGGUGGCGAAGGCGGCAUUCUGGACCGAAACUGACGCUGAGGCGCGAAAGCCAGGGGAGCAAACGGG
rnacentral:rRNA from 1 species